UAAGCCAAAAAAAGAUAAAAACAGAGGAGAGCUUAAUUAGAUCUGAAGAACUAUGAAGAACCUUUACUCAUAUGUCAACCAGAUAUUCAUUAGGUUUUUAAAGGUGCGACGAUGCUUUCUGGCCAAGAUUCCUUGGAAGGAUACUUCCGGGGGUAUCUGUGUUCCAUUAUGGAGACGGUUGUUACGCUCGCGCCAAAGCCUGUAGAUGACCGCUUGAGCUGUAACUUUGCGCAGGGUAGAAGGACAGUGAGAGACCUUCAGUCCAAUCCAAGUGAGAAGAGCCUCCCAAGUGUGGAAUAAUAUCGACACAGCAGCAAGUAUCGAUUUGAAGCCAAUCGAGAUCGUGUAGGAAGUCUAUCAAGCUGCGCCACCCACAUCAUAAAAGCAUGGCUAGGGAUGUGACCUUUGAACCAAACCUUCUCUGCCCACUCUUUCUUCUGUUCACGGGGUCUUAUUUUCAUUUGUUGAAUGAUCUCCUUUCGCUAAGAUGCAGAUCGGCCAGAGACACGACUGGAGAUCAAUUCUGUAAAGGUCAUGCAUGUCUGCGAUGGUUAAAGAUAUGUCUUCGUUUCUAAGUAACUGAUACUGAUAGGGAGAAGAGAAAACAUUGAUGAUUAUGUGAUUAUUGGGGGUUUCCUAAAGUCGGUUAUGAAGACAGCUAAGACAAAAGACAUACUUGCCAUUGCUCAUGAUCAAGCUAAGCAUUUCCUAUAUUACAGUCUAUGUUUUAUGAUUUAGUCAUCCAUUUGUGAUUAUUUCUAAUGAUCUAAAGGUUUUAUAUGAUUGGCGAAGUCUUUUACUUCAAAAAAAAAAUGUCUUUUACUUCUGUUUUGGAAUUAGAGAUCAAUCCUUCAUGUAUUGGCAAUCUCUGUUAUUGUGAAGACACAGUUCUUUGCUAACAACAAAUGGAAACUUUUUCAAGAAUAAGAACUAUACUGAACCAAUAGCAUAUAUUUACCGAAAAUACAGUAUUGAACUGGUGAAAAGUUUGACUUUAAAUGGAAUAAUAUUCUUGUUUACAAUUGUCUAUAUUUUUAAAACCAACUGUUUUUUUUUCUGUUCUAAAUUUCUGAGGUCUUCUUCCUGCAUUGUGACGCUCUGGUUUUGUAUAAAAAAAUUCAUUUCGCAUAGUUACUUCCCCAUUUCAAAAUCUGAGUCUCUGAGAACAAUUGCACUAAUUUCUUAUAUUUAUCAAAACAAUGUAUUCAAUUGAGCUCAAUUGCUUAUUAAUGAUUGUUGUUCAACCGCUUUUAGUUUAUGCUUGUACAAUGGCCACAGACACUUCCUUGAAAUCCUUCUGCUUGAAUUUUGUUCAUGACAAUAUGCUUCUACAAUAGAAAUGAACUCUUUCGCAGAUGAUGUAGGACAUGAAAUUAGUUAAUAUCAAUCAGAUUGUACCAGAUAAUAUCAAACAGUGAAUAUGAUUAAUUUACGUUUUGUUUAUAUUGUAGGUGCCGAUGAAGAAGUCUAUUUCUUUUUGCAAGAGAGGUUUCCAUUGCAAACAGGUUAUAUAUAUGAUGUUUUGCUGGAGAAAAUAAUCAGCUUACGAAAGCAGUACGAUUUAAACCGGUUAUUGUUUUGUUUCAAGAACCAGACAUUGUCGUAAACCUUAUAAAAUAUAAGGUACGAAGAAAAAAAUUAUAUAAUAGUAAGUACCAAUGGCAAUAUUUGUAAAUUUUCUAGUAGUUAAAAGUCUAUUACCUAAGAUAGGUGAGAAGAGUUGUGAACUUACCGCCUAAGCUAGAAUGGCAAAGUUGUUAUUAAUCUACUAAAUUAAUGUUUGUUAUUAAAAAUGCUUCUCAAUUGAUAAGAAAGAGAUUAUAUUUUUUAAUUGGAAUUC